rnacentral:rRNA from 1 species
UACGAAGGGGGCUAGCGUUGCUCGGAAUCACUGGGCGUAAAGCGCACGUAGGCGGCUUCUUAAGUCAGGGGUGAAAUCCUGGAGCUCAACUCCAGAACUGCCUUUGAUACUGGAAAGCUCGAGUCCGGGAGAGGUGAGUGGAACUGCGAGUGUAGAGGUGAAAUUCGUAGAUAUUCGCAAGAACACCAGUGGCGAGGGCGGCUCACUGGCCCGGUACUGACGCUGAGGUGCGAAAGCGUGGGGAGCAAACAGG